GAUGAACGCUGGCGGCGUGCCUAAUACAUGCAAGUCGAGCGAACGGACGAGACUCUUGCUUCUCUGAUGUUAGCGGCGGACGUGUGAUUAACACGUGUCUAACCUACCUUUAAGUCUUGGAUCCCUUCGGGACACCUGAGCUCAUACCGGAUAAUAUUUUGAACCUCAUGGUUCCUUAGUGAUAUACGUUUUUUCUGUCUCUUAUAGAUGUUUCCUGGCUGCAUUAGCUAGUUGGUAAGGUAACGGCUUACCAAGGCAACGAUGCAUAGCGGAGAUGAGAGGGUGAUCGGACACACGGGAACGGAGACACGGUAAAGACGACUAAGGGAGGCAGCAGUAGGGAAUAGUACGCAAUGGGCGAAAGCAUGACGGAGCAAAGCCGCGUGAGUGAUGAAGGUCUUCGGAUCGUAAAAAUCUGUUAGUAGGGAAGAACAGAUGUGUAAGAAAAUGUGCACAUAUUGACGGUACCAAAACAGAAAGCAACGGCUAACUACGUG
rnacentral:rRNA from 1 species